rnacentral:rRNA from 1 species
GGGCCCGCACAAGCAGUGGAGUAUGUGGUUUAAUUCGAAGCAACGCGAAGAACCUUACCAGGGCUUGACAUACUGAGGAAUGCUGUCGAGAGGCAGCAGCCCUUCGGGGCCUCAGAACAGGUGGUGCAUGGUUGUCGUCAGCUCGUGUCGUGAGAUGUUGGGUUAAGUCCCGCAACGAGCGCAACCCUUGCAGUCAGUUGGCAUCAUUAAGUUGGCCACUCUGAGUGGACUGCCGGUGACAAAUCGGAGGAAGGUGGGGACGACGUCAAAUCAUCAUGCCCCUUAUGUCCUGGGCUACACACGUACUACAAUGGCUGCUACAGAGGGAAGCGAAGCCGCGAGGCAGAGCGGAUCCUAAAAAGCAGUCUCAGUUCAGAUUGCGGGCUGCAACCCGCCCGCAUGAAGCAGGAAUUGCUAGUAAUGGCAGGUCAGCAUACUGCCGUGAAUACGUUCCCGGGCCUU